AUACGGAGGGUGCGAGCGUUAUUCGGAAUUACUGGGUUUAAAGGGUGCGUAGGCGGUUAAAUAAGUUGUCAGUGAAAGGCUACGGCUCAACUGUAGUAGUGCUGGCGAUACUGUAUAACUAAGGACAUGGGAGGGGUACCUGGAAUGUGUGGUGUAGCGGUGAAAUGCGUAGAUAUCACACAGAACACCGGAGGCAAAGGCGGGGUACUAGACCAUAGUUGACGCUGAGGCACGAAAGCGUGGGGAUCAAACAGGAUUAGAUACCCUGGUAGUCCACGCCCUAAACGAUGAUCACUAGAUAUUGGCGACAGACAGUCAGUGUCCAAGCGAAAGUGAUAAGUGAUCCACCUGGGGAAUACGGCCGCAAGGUUAAA
rnacentral:rRNA from 1 species